GAGAGAGUAAAGUUCAACUCCCUGUUGCCGUGUCUGACUGAGACUUCCAAAUCCCUAAUCUGCCCGCCUAGUCCCCUCAGUCUCCGACUCUCCGUCUCCGUCUCUCCUUCAAGCUCCCUAAAGUACCUCUCUUCCUCUUCUCCAAAACCCUAGCAGUCAGCGAUCGCUUCCUCUGGCCAUCUUCUGAGAGUACUGGAGCCAUCCAAGAUGCAUUGAAAACGAUCAAUCUUUGUGACUAGCAUGGAUGUUUUGAUCGGUGCCAUUGAUGGUGUUCCUUCAACUGAAUUUGAGUGUGUUUUGAUUUGAGCUUGUCAAUGGGGGGAUUCUUCUUCUGAAUGGUUCGGAGGUUCUUUAAUUUUUAUCGGAUCUGCUGCGAGAGAAGGACAACACAACGAUGAUGAUAAAACCAUCAUACUUUCAUGUGUAUUGAGGACCACCGAUGAUUGUUUUUCAAGCACUUUUGAGCUGCUCUUCCAUCUCUUUAUGGGCUCGGUUUAUUCCCUUUCUGUUGUCAAUUGUUUUCUGUCUUUUAUUGCCACCAAUCCUGAAGGUUGAUUCCCUGUCUGCUAUCAAUGGUCUUUUGCUUUGCAGACACUUUUCAGCUACUCUCUCUCUUUGGCUUGUCCUAUUUUUUGUUGUCAAAUAUUUUGUUUUUAAUUGCAGCAAGUCCUGAGGUUAAUGUCAAUGUGCUUUUCAGCUCUUUGGAGCUGCUCUUCCCUCUCAUUUCCAAGGUCGGACUAUUUUAAUAUUUUAUUGCAAAUGUCUGUCAUGGAAACCAGUUCCGAGGUUAAUGCCAGUUGUAAUUGUAAUACCAUCAAAACUGAGAUCCCUUGUCUCAUGUGACGAUGAUAAACAUUUGCUGCUUUAGAUCA